rnacentral:rRNA from 1 species
CAGUCGCCGCGGUAAUACGUAGGGUGCAAGCGUUAAUCGGAAUUACUGGGCGUAAAGCGUGCGCAGGCGGUUAUAUAAGACAGAUGUGAAAUCCCCGGGCUCAACCUGGGAACUGCAUUUGUGACUGUAUAGCUAGAGUACGGCGGAGGGGGAUGGAAUUCCGCGUGUAGCAGUGAAAUGCGUAGAUAUGCGGAGGAACACCGAUGGCGAAGGCAAUCCCCUGGGCCUGUACUGACGCUCAUGCACGAAAGCGUGGGGAGCAAACAGGAUUAGAUACCCGGGUAGUCCCUGUCUCUUAUAC